UACAGAGGUCUCAAGCGUUGUUCGGAUUCAUUGGGCGUAAAGGGUGCGUAGGCGGCGCGGUAAGUCGGGUGUGAAAUCUCGGAGCUUAACUCCGAAACUGCAUUCGAUACUGCCGUGCUUGAGGACUGGAGAGGAGACUGGAAUUUACGGUGUAGUGGUGAAAUGCGUAGAUAUCGUAAGGAAGACCAGUGGCGAAGGCGACUUUCUGGCCUGUUCUUGACGCUGAGGCGCGAAAGCUAGGGGAGCAAACGGG
rnacentral:rRNA from 1 species